UACGUAGGGUGCGAGCGUUGUCCGGAAUUACUGGGCGUAAAGCGUGCGUAGGUGGUUGUUUAAGUCUGUUGUGAAAGCCCUGGGCUCAACCUGGGAAUUGCAGUGGAUACUGGGCGACUAGAGUGUGGUAGAGGGUAGUGGAAUUCCCGGUGUAGCAGUGAAAUGCGUAGAGAUCGGGAGGAACAUCCAUGGCGAAGGCAGCUACCUGGACCAACACUGACACUGAGGCACGAAAGCGUGGGGAGCAAACAGG
rnacentral:rRNA from 1 species